UGACAGGGUCUCUGGCUGGGCACAGAGGCCUUUUUUCAUAGGGCCUCUCCUUAGAAGCCAGCUUUCAAGGUGAGCCUAAACAUGCUGAUGCUCUUAACCCUUGGGGCUACCUACCACACCAAGAGAGAACAUACCACAAAGUGGCAGGAGAUGCUUGAACAGGAGAAACUGCACUAGGACAAGAAAAAGACUAGAAUACAAAGGAAAAUGUGCUGAAUGCCAAAGAUGAUCUGCAAGCAGAUCUUGGUAAGUUCUGUUCUUUCUCCAGAACUUUCUGCAUCCCCUUUGUAGGAGACAUUCUGGUUCUCAGCUCACUGUUUCCUGUGUUGCCUUUCAGACUGGAGGAAAUCCAUUUACCUGGCUGG